AAAGUAUCAGAAUUUCGCGAUAUCCAGUAAAUUAGUUUUCCAGGAAAGUUUAUGCGUUUUUAAAGCAGUUCCCGUUGUUCGAUUCUUAUCAUUUUGCUAAAACAAUUUCAUGGAAAGUUCUAAAGUGUAGUAUGUGCGUAGUACGACGAGAAAAAAUGAAUAAUAUAAUUUAAGGAAGCAUCGAUAAUUGAAACAAAGAAAAGUCCAUAAGGCUUCUCAUAUAAGUGCAGAACGGUGGCAGCAGCGAUUGCAUUAUAGGAAGAAUAGUGUUUUCACGGAGCGUUUCUUUAGUUGUAUACAAGGGUAGCUUGGAGAUGCGAAUGUGUAUCGUUUGUUUAGUUUUUGCUGAAGCGACUAUGCAAACUGCCGUCUUCAAUGGCGCAAUCAUUCAGCUGGUACCAUCACGCUCACCAUGGAUCCUCGAAAACCGAGGACCAGCUUAAGGCCAAAUCGGUUCCGCUGUGUUCGGUAAAUGAUGUGCAGUUGCGUUUUCUCUGUCCAGACGACUUGGAGGAAGUGCGAACGCUAUGUCAGGAUUGGUUCCCGAUAGACUACCCCUUAUCAUGGUACGAAGAUAUCACUUCCAGUACACGGUUUUUCGCGUUGGCAGCUGUAUACAAUUUUACGAUCAUCGGUUUGAUCGUAGCUGAAAUUAAACCGUACAACAAAUUGAACAAGGAGGACCGAGGAAUCCUGUCGGAAUCAAUGGGCCGGGACGCCGACAUAGGUUAUAUUUUAUCAUUGGGCGUACAUCGCAAAUACCGUCAAAAUGGAAUUGGAUCACUACUGCUGGAUUCUCUCAUCAACCACCUAACGACGGCCGAGCGCCAUAAAGUAAAGGCCAUAUUCUUGCAUGUGCUAACGACCAACCAAACCGCAAUACUUUUCUACGAACGAAGAGGAUUCGUUCUUCACUCGUUCCUGCCUUACUAUUACUCAAUACGGGGUAAAUGCAAAGAUGGCUUCACGUAUGUGUCGUACCUUAAUGGAGGCCACUCACCAUGGAGUUUAUAUGAUCAUCUCAAAAACUGGUGCUCUUUGGUGGUCACCGCAGGAGGACUCUGCUCCUGGCUUAGCGGGCGCAUCCGAAGUGCAUUUCGUUGGGUUUGUUAUCGUACCAUAUCGAGGUUCACGUUUACGCAGGACACCUAAGAGACGAAAAGUCUCCUCCGAAUGUUUUCCGGUGAUUCGUUAUAGUCAAAUAUUUAAGUUCGGGACAGGCGGAAUAUGUUACAUUUCCAGAUAUGAGACGGAACUAACUUUUGUUAGACAUAGGGACAAGUGUAUCCAUAUAUAACAUGUUUAAGACAGAGAGAGUUGACUAAACACGAUAGCUAAAAUCGACAUUUCAUGUAUUUGACAAUAAACCAAAAGCUUUUUUUAUUUAUUCCAUUCUUAUUCACAUUUAUUCAGAUUAGGUUUUUCUAUAUAAAUUAAUCGACGAAUCUUUGUUUAUACAUUGGUUAUAUAAGCGUUUAUCCAUUGAUGACGGUUCACUUCCCUCAUUUUCAUCGAUAUUUCAAUGAGGUAUCUGUUAAUGCAUUUUAAUUUAUACAAAAAAUAUGCAAUAAGAGUUGUUGAUCCAUAUUCGCAAUUGACGUUUUUGGCAAUUGUCGAAUCAUGCUGUACAGUUAACUAUCGUCAUUACCAUCAUAAUAAGAAAAUGAAAGACCUUCCCUGCAUAUUAGAAAGCAUCACUGCGAUAGAAUGUGUGGCGUAAUUGUCCGAGGGAUUAUUUAUUGACAGAUGAGAGCAUUGGUGAUGCUCUAGAUAAUAUAAUGGUUAUGCCAAAUAUAAACCUACAUGGAAAGUCAA